UACGAAGGGGGCUAGCGUUGUUCGGAAUCACUGGGCGUAAAGCGCACGCAGGCGGAUUGGUAAGUCAGAGGUGAAAUCCCGGGGCUCAACCUUGGAAUUGCCUUUGAUACUGAAAAUCUUGAGUCCGGGAGAGGUGAGUGGAAUUCCUAGUGUAGAGGUGAAAUGCGUAGAUAUUAGGAAGAACACCAGUGGCGAAGGCGGCUCACUGGCCCGGAACUGACGCUCAGGUGCGAAAGCGUGGGGAGCAAACAGG
rnacentral:rRNA from 1 species